AGCACUUUUACAGGAAAUCCUCAGGUUUCAGCUCUUUUGUCGGCCAGUUCCAUGAUUUCAGAAAAAGGAACUUGGCUGUUGCGAGUAUGAAGUGUUGAAGAGAAACUAUAUGACUUCACUCACGACACAGACCUUGACCCACAACGCAGGAGCUCUGUUUGAUCAUGCUUGCCAACAACUCUUGCGCUCAUGGAAAUGACACAGCUGCAUGUUCCUCUCACGGCUCAUCUGCAGGCCUGGCCUCAGGCCUGACAAUCUUCUUCUUAUUGCUCGUGAUCGCCGCUUGUUUUAUCCUGUACAAAUACCAUGGCAAGAUCAGGAAAAUGUUUCCAUCCAGAGAUAGAAUAAACGUAAUGAAGGAGGAAUAUACAGAGGCGCCACAAGCAGAUCCACAUCAGUAUUCUUCUAUGACCAGAGAACAGCCAACACCAGCAGCACAGACCCCCAUCUAUGAAAACCUGGGAACUAGAACUGGCUGGCCGAAAACAAAACAGAGCAGGUCAUCUGGAGAACAUGAGGAUGAUUUGUACCUGCAGUGUGAUGUACCAGAUGAUGUAAUAUACAGCAAUGAUCCGGCCUGUAACCUCUCCCUCCUCCCUGACUCCCAAGAGGAGGAUGUGUAUAUAAUGCCAGAUGUAUUAUAGAACAAACCACUUUCCAUAUUAUUACUUUAACUCUGCUGUUUUAAAGCCAUGAAUUUUAGCUUGUUAUGAAAGAGCUGAAAUUGAUAUGGAGGCCUAUAUUUGAGCUAGAAAAGCAAACAAGACCAUCAGUGAGACAACUGACUAUUUCUAUUCAGUUACUUUUCACAGCUGAAACCACCACUGAGCUGUGGGUGUCAGACAAAGUUUUAAACUGCACGUAUGCAGAGUUGGUCUUUGUUUCAUUUACAUAGCGUAAGGAGCUUUAAAAACACAUUUUAACAAGGCAGCGAUGCUGCCUUUAAGUGUAUGCCGUGUCUGUAUUGUAUGGACAAAAAUACAUUAUGUUUUAUGAUACUUUAAGUUGCUGCUUUACUUCUCAUGUAAAGCUAGCAUUUGUGUCAGAAAAAAAUUGUUGUAAUGACUCUUUAAACUCCUGGUAGUGUAAAAUAUUGCUGACAUAAUGAUGCUCUGCUUUUGUUUUGUGUUGUUUCAAAAACUGUGUUGCCAUGGCUUUGGCAUCGUUCUUUUGUCUCUAGGUAUGUCUGAAAUAAUUGCUGAGUCACUUUCAUUUUUGGGUUUUACAGAGGAAAUGAACAAGCUAUUUAUCAAGUGCCAUGUGGUAAAGCCAUGCAUGUAUUCUGCAGUCAGUAUUUAACUUUGGUCCUCUGUUAGACUUAGAAAUGUUUCAGCAGCAUUAAAAGUUAAAAUUUGAUAGAUUAUUUUACUCUUUAUCAGUUUUGUGGAUAUUAUUUGUUGGAUAGACUGCAUCUAAAUUUGCCAUUUUAAAUUGUAUUUAUGUGAUUAAUUAAUGACUUUAAUGCUGAUCUGCCUCAAAGUCAACGGAUUCACUUGCUCCCUCUGAUUUCGUUUAGUCAACUCUGUUUGGACAUUAAAGCUCAUUUUUCUGUCUACACUAUAAUCACUGGGUAAAAUUUUUGUAUUGCCAUUAUCUGCCCCAGUUUUUAAAGGGGACAUAUUACGCAAAAAUCACUUUUUCAGGCUUUUCUAACAAAAAUAUGUGCCCCUGGCCUGCCCACAAUCCCCUCAAAUAUCAGAAAAAAUCCAUUCCCUUCCCCCCUCCAUUUCUCCACCUUUCAGAAAGUGUGUGCUGAAACAAGCCGUUGUCAAUAAAACCUAUGUGAAAAAAAAGCCUAUGUGAGGAUGAAAAGACAACUGUAAUUAUUUACUCUGUGGAUUUAUACAAGAUAUUGACUGAAAUGUCAUGAAAGCGUGCUCUGAAAAGAACUGUAAAAAAAAAAGUCACACUUUUUUAACUUAUAUACCAGGAAGACAUUUGAAAAUGCAGAGAUCAGUGCCACUCUUUGUGCUUUGUGGUUACCCAGCUUAUUCAAAGUGAUUGAGAGGAUGUAAGAAUGAGCAGAUCUUAAAACCAGUCUGCUAUGACAGGUUUUACCUGUGUCCUAAAAUGACAGCAAAAGAGGUCCGAUUACGCUUUUAUAUAUGGCUUAUUACAAUCCAUGCCAAUGUACAUUUCAAAUGUGAUUUUGUUUUCUGUCAUUUUAGAAAAGUUUUCAAGGAAGGCUUUGUGAGAAUGAAUUCAUGUUUUAUCUAA